CAGCCGCCGCGGUAAUACGUAGGUGGCAAGCGUUGUCCGGAAUUAUUGGGCGUAAAGCGCGCGCAGGCGGAUCAGUUAGUCUGUCUUAAAAGUUCGGGGCUUAACCCCGUGAUGGGAUGGAAACUGCUGAUCUAGAGUAUCGGAGAGGAAAGUGGAAUUCCUAGUGUAGCGGUGGAAUGCGUAGAUAUUAGGAAGAACACCAGUGGCGAAGGCGACUUUCUGGACGAAAACUGACGCUGAGGCGCGAAAGCCAGGGGAGCGAACGGGAUUAGAUACCCGCGUAGUCCCUGUCUCUUAUACA
rnacentral:rRNA from 1 species